rnacentral:rRNA from 1 species
CUUUUACCGGACUUAGCUUCUUGGUGGGGUGAUGGCCUACCAAGGCGGUGACGGGUAGCCGGCCUGAGAGGGCGACCGGCCACACUGGGACUGAGACACGGCCCAGACUCCUACGGGAGGCAGCAGUGGGGAAUAUUGCGCAAUGGGCGGAAGCCUGACGCAGCGACGCCGCGUGGGGGAUGACGGCCUUCGGGUUGUAAACCUCUUUCGCCAGGGACGAAGAGCAAUUGACGGUACCUGGAGAAGAAGCACCGGCCAACUACGUGCCAGCAGCCGCGGUAACACGUAGGGUGCGAGCGUUGUCCGGAAUUAUUGGGCGUAAAGAGCUCGUAGGCGGUGUGUCGCGUCGAUCGUGAAAACUUGGGGCUUAACUCUGAGCGUGCGGUCGAUACGGGCAUCACUUGAGUUCGGCAGGGGAGACUGGAAUUCCUGGUGUAGCGGUGAAAUGCGCAGAUAUCAGGAGGAACACCGGUGGCGAAGGCGGGUCUCUGGGCCGAUACUGACGCUGAGGAGCGAAAGCGUGGGGAGCGAACAGGAUUAGAUACCCUGGUAGUCCACGCCGUAAACGUUGGGCGCUAGGUGUGGGGACCAUUCCACGGUCUCUUUGUGCCACA